AGGCAUAAUAACAGUGGCACCUAUGAUACCAUAUUUCAUUGGUGCUGAAUAAAUUAUGCAAUAUAAAAUGGAAGACUAUCCAAUAUAGUUGGUUAAACAUAGUGGCCAGUUAUUAUUUCACACUUCCAACAUUU